rnacentral:rRNA from 1 species
AACGUAGGACGCAAGCGUUAUCCGGAGUUACUGGGCGUAAAGGGCGGGCAGGCGGUCUAGCAAGUGGGGUGUGAAAGCUCUCAGCUUAACUGGGAGAGGCCAUUCCAGACUGCUAGACUGGAGGGCAGUAGAGGUAGGCGGAAUUCCGGGUGGAGUGGUGAAAUGCGUAGAGAUCCGGAGGAACACCAGAGGCGAAGGCGGCCUACUGGGCUGCACCUGACGCUGAACCGCGAAAGCCAGGGGAGCGAACGGG